rnacentral:miRNA from 1 species
AGCUUCUCUACAGAAAAUAUA